rnacentral:rRNA from 1 species
AACUCUGUGCCAGCAGCCGCGGUAAUACAGAGGGUGCGAGCGUUAAUCGGAUUUACUGGGCGUAAAGCGUGCGUAGGCGGCUUUUUAAGUCGGAUGUGAAAUCCCUGAGCUUAACUUAGGAAUUGCAUUCGAUACUGGAAAGCUAGAGUAUGGGAGAGGAUGGUAGAAUUCCAGGUGUAGCGGUGAAAUGCGUAGAGAUCUGGAGGAAUACCGAUGGCGAAGGCAGCCAUCUGGCCUAAUACUGACGCUGAGGUACGAAAGCAUGGGGAGCAAACAGGAUUAGAUACCCUGGUAGUCCAUGCCGUAAACGAUGUCUACUAGCCGUUGGGGCCUUUGAGGCUUUAGUGGCGCAGCUAACGCGAUAAGUAGACCGCCUGGGGAGUACGGUCGCAAGACUAAAACUCAAAUGAAUUGACGGGGGCCCGCACAAGCGGUGGAGCAUGUGGUUUAAUUCGAUGCAACGCGAAGAACCUUACCUGGCCUUGACAUACUAAGAACUUUCCAGAGAUGGAUUGGUGCCUUCGGGAACUUAGAUACAGGUGCUGCAUGGCUGUCGUCAGCUCGUGUCGUGAGAUGUUGGGUUAAGUCCCGCAACGAGCGCAACCCUUUUCCUUAUUUGCCAGCGGGUAAUGCCGGGAACUUUAAGGAUACUGCCAGUGACAAACUGGAGGAAGGCGGGGACGACGUCAAGUCAUCAUGGCCCUUACGGCCAGGGCUACACACGUGCUACAAUGGUCGGUACAAAGGGUUGCUACCUCGCGAGAGGAUGCUAAUCUCAAAAAGCCGAUCGUAGUCCGGAUCGCAGUCUGCAACUCGACUGCGUGAAGUCGGAAUCGCUAGUAAUCGCGGAUCAGAAUGCCGCGGUGAAUACGUUCCCGGGCCUUGUACACACCGCCCGUCACACCAUGGGAGUUUGUUGCACCAGAAGUAGGUAGUCUAACCGCAAGGAGGACGCUACCAUCGGUUGGCCCCAAAG